GCAGCAGCCGCGGGAAUACGAAGGGUGCAAGCGUUACUCGGAAUUACUGGGCGUAAAGCGUGCGUAGGCGGCUUCUUAAGUCGGAUGUGAAAUCCCUGAGCUUAACUUAGGAAUUGCAUUCGAUACUGGGAAGCUAGAGUAUGGGAGAGGAUGGUAGAAUUCCAGGUGUAGCGGUGAAAUGCGUAGAGAUCUGGAGGAAUACCGAUGGCGAAGGCAGCCAUCUGGCCUAAUACUGACGCUGAGGUACGAAAGCAUGGGGAGCAAACAGGAUUAGAUACCCCCGUAGUCCCUGUCUCUUAUAC
rnacentral:rRNA from 1 species